AGCUCCAAUAGCGUAUAUUAAAGUUGUUGCAGUUAAAAAGCUCGUAGUUGAAUUUCUGGCUGGAAGGGAGCGGUCCCGCAUCUUUGCGGGUACUUGCUCGUCUUCUGCCAUCCUUGGGCUUAGUCUCGCUGAUAUUAACUUAUCGGCGUGUACGAUGCCCAUCGUUUACUGUGAGCAAAUUAGAGUGUUCAAAGCAGGCUUAUGCCGUUGAAUAUAUUAGCAUGGAAUAAUAAGAUAGGACCUAGUGACUAUUUUGUUGGUUUGCGUUAUGAGGUAAUGAUUAAGAGGGACAGUUGGGGGUAUUCGUAUUCAGGUGUAAGAGGUGAAAUUCUUAGAUUAUCGGAAGACGAACGACUGCGAAAGCAUUUACCAAGGAUGUUUUCA
rnacentral:rRNA from 1 species